UUAGGUUUCGUUGUGUUGUGCGCACUCGUUUGCUUCUCUCCGCUGUUUUGUGGCCCCGUUCUUGGUGUGGUCUGUCACCACGGACAGCGUGGUAGGAUUGUGAGGCCACCAAGCGGAGCUGGUGCCUGGAGUUGCAGCAGGAGCUGUGGGCCCCCAGAUCCCCCGGUGGCCCUUCCCUUGCUGUGAAAUGCACUCUGGGUGUCUUUGGUUUGGCGUGUCACAUGGUGUUUUAAGUUGAGCCCCAUUUUUCCUGCUGGCUGCCCUGGUAAGCCCCAGCCCUAGUCCCCCUGUGUAUUUAGUUAUUUUGUUUCUUUUGUUUUCACAUCAUUACCAGCAUUUGUAAAUUCAACCCCUAACCCCUUAACAACGAUUAGCUGCCUUUUUAUUAGAAAUUGUGUUAGAAAUAAAAUCAUAAGUUGGGA